ACAUAUUUAAGCUGGCAGCUGAUUCUCUCAGUCCCUUUCACCGACGUCACUGCAGAGAGGAGAACUCGCGAAAGAGGCAGCGCACUCUCGCUAUUUAACGUUAUAAGGAAAAGCCGUCGGCAUGGGCUGUUCAGAUCAGAUGCUGUUUGGACCCCUGUCUGAACCGGAUGGAGGCUGAGGGCUUGUGAAAGCCGCCAAGGCCGUAUAAUGACUAAAGAAAUGUGUCCGAGAAGAGCCCAAAGAUGAGGAGGGCUGCCAUCUGAAUGUGCGAAAAGCUUUGAGGCUUAAAGUCGACUCAUCAGAAGAGAUGUUGGUCUUGUCAGUUGAUGCUUUGCAGGUCAAAACGGCAAACACCUGAAUGAGAGACAGGUUGAGCUUCGGGUUUCUCGUCUCUGAAAUGGACCAUUAGCAUUAAUGGUUCCAGACCGUAUGAGUCGCUUCAAUGGGAAGAGGAAAUUGUAUUUGUCUAAAACUACAAUAAAGACUUGAUUUUUA